UACGGGGGGGGCAAGCGUUGUUCGGAAUUACUGGGCGUAAAGGGCUUGUAGGUGGCCAACUAAGUCAGACGUGAAAUCCCUCGGCUUAACCGGGGAACUGCGUCUGAUACUGGAUGGCUUGAGGUUGGGAGAGGGAUGCGGAAUUCCAGGUGUAGCGGUGAAAUGCGUAGAUAUCGGGAGGAAUACCUAUGGCGAAAGCAGGCUACUGGACCGUCACUGACUCUGAUCUGCGAAAGCUAGGGGAGCAAACAGG
rnacentral:rRNA from 1 species